rnacentral:rRNA from 1 species
UACAGGGGGUGCAAACGUUGCUCGGAAUCAUUGGGCGUAAAGCGCACGUAGGCGGUUCGUUAUGUCGGAUGUGAAAGCCCUUGGCUUAACCGAGGAAGUGCAUCCGAAACUGGCGAGCUAGAGUACGAAAGAGGAUCGCGGAAUUCCCGGUGUAGAGGUGAAAUUCGUAGAUAUUCGGAGGAACACCAGUGGCGAAGGCGGCUCACUGGUCCAUUACUGACGCUGAGGUGCGAA